GAGAACAUGAAGAGACUUGCAACUAAAGAGUCAAAGCUUAAGGAGCUAAAGCAGCAAUUUGAAGGAAAAACUGUGUUGCUUGGUUUCGACGACCUGGAUAUUUUCAAAGGUAUUAAUUUAAAGCUUCUAGCUAUGGAACACAUGCUCGGACAGCACCCCAAGUGGCAAGGGCAGGCUGUGCUGGUUCAGAUCGCAAAUCCUACAAGGGGUAAAGGAGUAGAUUUAAAGGAAAUACAGGCGGAGAUACUGGAAAGCUGUAAGAGAAUCAAUAAGCAAUUCGGCCAGCCUGGAUAUGAACCUGUAGUUU
rnacentral:misc_RNA from 1 species